UACGUAGGGUGCAAGCGUUAAUCGGAAUUACUGGGCGUAAAGCGUGCGCAGGCGGUUUUGUAAGUCUGUCGUGAAAUCCCCGGGCUCAACCUGGGAAUUGCGAUGGAGACUGCAAGGCUAGAAUCUGGCAGAGGGGGGUAGAAUUCCACGUGUAGCAGUGAAAUGCGUAGAUAUCAGGAGGAAUACCGAUGGCGAAGGCAGGUCUCUGGGCUGACACUGACGCUCAUGCACGAAAGCGUGGGGAGCAAACAGG
rnacentral:rRNA from 1 species